rnacentral:lncRNA from 1 species
AUUAGAUUUUUGUUUGGUUUGGGUGGGGUUUUAUGCAUUUUCUAGCCAAUCACAUCUCAUAUCUGAAAGAUGAAAUGGAAGUACCUCUAACUCCUCCGUGCAAACAACAAAGAUCGCAGGUGAAUUUUCUCUGUGUAGGACUUCAAGAAGAACUUAAUCCUCUUUUCGAUAACAGUAUUUUGAUUACAGAGCCCUCUAGGGAAUACUUAGACUCUUUGGUAUGGCAAUCAGAGAAGUACUGGGAUAAUGUGAGCUCUCUUUUGCUUGUCG